GGGAUUUAUCUUAAUCCACCCAGCAUUUUACGUAUCGGGUUAAUGUCAAAUUCAGAUUUUAGUAAAAAAAACAAAUAUUUUUUAACUUUUUUUUUAACCUUUUCUCUUUAUUCUUUUCUUAUUUCUUUUUUUUUUUCCACUUUUAUUCUCCUUCUGCUUCUUUCUCCUCUCCGUAUCCCUUCUCUCUUCAUCUCUUUUCUCUCUUCAAAAUAUAUCAUUUCCUCUUCCUAAAUUGAGGUCAAUUUCUCCUCAGGUUGAAUUGUUUUUUCUCUGCCUUGCUUUGUCAUUGAUGAUUGGUGAUCUUGCUUCACAACCAGAGGGUUAUACUAAGGAAAACUCAUUUGCAAAAGUGUUAUGAGAUCGGGGAGAGAGUGAAGGGAAGCUUGUUGGUGGUGUGGUUAGUCAGAGAAAGAAGAGAGGAACUGGUGAUCCGUUGUGACGGCAGAGAGAGAGUUGAAGACCAAUUAUUUUUGCGUCUUUUCCCUUGCUCCGUUGCUGUCGGUGUCAUUAUGCAAUUUAUCGGAUGAUGAUGAUAUAGAUAUUUUUUCUAACACAAUAUAAAUCAUUGAAAAUGAUCUUAGAGACCCGUCAAAACGAGAAAGUCAGAAUCUUUCACAAAAUAAUUUUUUAUUGGACGAGUACAUAAUCAAUAAGCUCACACUGACCCGCUAAUUUAAUUAAGAUCUAAUUCAAGAUUUUUCUUGGGAAGUGUCAGGAGGUAAUUUGAACAAUAAAUCAAUUACGAUUGCAAACUUAUAAUAUUUUUAGAUUUUUUUUAUUAAGUGUACGUGUUCGUUUGUUUUUUUAUUUAGAAUGUAAAGGGUUGUCAAGUAUAUAAAUAAUAGGAUAUAA